AACGAACGCUGGCGGCGUGCCUAACACAUGCAAGUCGAACGCGAAAGGGGGCAACCCCCGGUAGCGUGGCAGACGGGUGAGUAACACGUGGGUAACCUACCCGGAGGUGGGGGAUAACCCUUCGAAAGGAGGGCUAAUACCGCAUAAUACCGUGGGGACCUCGGUCCUUGCGAUCAAAGCUGGCCUCUGUUUACAAGCUAGCGCCACCGGAUGGGCCCGCGCCCCAUUAGCUAGUUGGUGAGGUAACGGCUCACCAAGGCGACGAUGGGUAGCCGGCCUGAGAGGGCGAUCGGCCACACUGGAACUGCGACACGGUCCAGACUCCUACGGGAGGCAGCAGUGGGGAAUUUUUGUCAAUGGGGGAAACCCUGAACAAGCAACGCCGCGUGAAGGACGAAGACCUUCGGGUUGUAAACUUCUGUCGGAGGGGACGAAAGCAUUUGCGGUCAAUACCCGUGAGUGUUGACGGUACCCUAAGAGGAAGCCCCGGCUAACUCCGUGCCAGCAGCCGCGGUAAUACGGGGGGGGCAAGCGUUGUUCGGAAUUACUGGGCGUAAAGGGCGCGUAGGCGGGCAGGAAAGUCUCUCGUGAAAUCCCACGGCUCAACCGUGGAAUUGCGGGAGAUACUCCUUGUCUUGAGUUCGGGAGAGGAGUGUGGAAUUCCCAGUGUAGCGGUGAAAUGCGUAGAUAUUGGGAGGAACACCGGUGGCGAAGGCGGCACUCUGGACCGAUACUGACGCUGAGGCGCGAAAGCUAGGGGAGCAAACGGGAUUAGAUACCCCGGUAGUCCUAGCCCUAAACGAUGAAUGCUUGGUGUGGCGGG
rnacentral:rRNA from 1 species